rnacentral:rRNA from 1 species
CCUCUGACACCUUANAGAUAGGCGUUCCCUUCGGGGACAGAGUGACAGGUAGUGCAUGGUUGUCGUCAGCUCGUGUCGUGAGAUGUUGGGUUAAGUCCCGCAACGAGCGCAACCCUUGAUCUUAGUUGCCAGCAUUAAGUUGGGCACUCUAAGGUGACUGCCGGUGACAAACCGGAGGAAGGUGGGGAUGACGUCAAAUCAUCAUGCCCCUUAUGACCUGGGCUACACACGUGCUACAAUGGAUGGAACAAAGGGCAGCAAGACCGUGAGGUUUAGCAAAUCCCAUAAAACCAUUCUCAGUUCGGAUUGUAGGCUGCAACUCGCCUACAUGAAGCCGGAAUCGCUAGUAAUCGCGGAUCAGCAUGCCGCGGUGAAUACGUUCCCGGGCCU